rnacentral:rRNA from 1 species
AAGCGCUUGCAAUCAGACUUGCAUACAGUUGAUCAUCCGAUGUUCUCACCGGUGCACUCAUCUGUAUUCAGGCCAGCAUCAGUUUUGGUGGUUGGAUAAAGGCCCUGGGAAUGUAGCUUCCUUUGGGGAGUGUUAUAGCCCAAGGUGCAAUGCAGCCUACCAGGACUGAGGACCGCGCUUCGGCUAGGAUGCUGGCGUAAUGGUUGUAAGCGA